CAAAAAUUUUAUUCUCCAUUCAAAAUUUUUUUCUCCAUGUAACUUGUGUAAUUGAGUAAGUUAUUAAAUAUCUGCUUUGAAUUAUUUUUACUAAGUUAUGGCAUGAAAUAUGAAUA